GUUUGCCAGCNCGUANUGNUGGGAACUCCAGGGAGACUGCCGGUGAUAAACCGGAGGAAGGUGGGGACGACGUCAAGUCAUCAUGGCCCUUACGAGUAGGGCUACACACGUGCUACAAUGGCGCAUACAGAGGGCGGNCAACCAGCGAUGGUGAGCGAAUCCCAAAAAGUGCGUCGUAGUCCGGAUUGGAGUCUGCAACUCGACUCCAUGAAGUCGGAAUCGCUAGUAAUCGUGAAUCAGAAUGUCACGGUGAAUACGUUCCCGGGCCUUGUACACACCGCCCGUCACACCAUGGGAGUGGGCUGCAAAAGAAGUGGGUAGUUAACCU
rnacentral:rRNA from 1 species